AGUUUGAUCCUGGCUCAGGAUGAACGCUGACGGCGUGCCUAAUACAUGCAAGUCGAACGCUUUGUGGUUCAACUGAUUUGAAGAGCUUGCUCAGAUAUGACGAUGGACAUUGCAAAGAGUGGCGAACGGGUGAGUAACACGUGGGAAACCUACCUCUUAGCAGGGGAUAACAUUUGGAAACAGAUGCUAAUACCGUAUAACAAUAGCAACCGCAUGGUUGCUACUUAAAAGAUGGUUCUGCUAUCACUAAGAGAUGGUCCCGCGGUGCAUUAGUUAGUUGGUGAGGUAAUGGCUCACCAAGACGAUGAUGCAUAGCCGAGUUGAGAGACUGAUCGGCCACAAUGGGACUGAGACACGGCCCAUACUCCUACGGGAGGCAGCAGUAGGGAAUCUUCCACAAUGGGCGAAAGCCUGAUGGAGCAACGCCGCGUGUGUGAUGGAGGGUUUCGGCUCGUAAAACACUGUUGUAAGAGAAGAAUGACAUUGAGAGUAACUGUUCAAUGUGUGACGGUAUCUUACCAGAAAGGAACGGCUAAAUACGUGCCAGCAGCCGCGGUAA
rnacentral:rRNA from 1 species